CUUGGCGGCAGGCCUAACACAUGCAAGUUCGAGCGCCCCCGCAAGGGGAGCGGCGGACGGGUGAGUAACGCGUGGGAACGUACCCUUUGCUACGGAAUAGCCUCGGGAAACUGGGAGUAAUACCGUAUGUGCCCUUCGGGGGAAAGAUUUAUCGGCAAAGGAUCGGCCCGCGUUGGAUUAGGUAGUUGGUGGGGUAAUGGCCUACCAAGCCGACGAUCCAUAGCUGGUUUGAGAGGAUGAUCAGCCACACUGGGACUGAGACACGGCCCAGACUCCUACGGGAGGCAGCAGGUGGGAAUCUUAGACAAUGGGCGCAAGCCUGAUCUAGCCAUGCCGCGUGAGCGAUGAAGGCCGUUAGGGUUAGUAAAGCUCUUCAGUGGGAAGAUAAUGACUGUACCCACAGAAGAAGCCCCGGCUAACUCCGUG
rnacentral:rRNA from 1 species